rnacentral:rRNA from 1 species
CAAUAGCGUAUAUUAAAGUUGUUGCAGUUAAAAAGCUCGUAGUUGGAUUUCUGACGUCUUUUUUCUUCCUUUCUUGUUCACAAAUUGUGGAUGUUAGGUUUGAUUGGACGUCUUCCUUCCCUGUUAAUUUGGUUUUCAAGCAUUAACUUGUUUGUGGAUCAAAUGGGGAUCAUUUACUGUGAAAAAAUUAGAGUGUUCAAAGCAAGUAUUUAAUUUCUUGAAUACAUUAGCAUGGAAUAAUAAGAUAGGACUUUGGUUAUAUUUUGUUGGUUUGCAAACUGAGGUAAUGAUUAAUAGGAACAUAUUGGGGAUAUCUGUAUUUUUUAGUCAGAGGUGAAAUUCUUGGAUUUAAGAAAGACAAACUACAGCGAAAGCAUUUAUCAAGGAUGUUUNCAUUGA